rfam:Cavia porcellus supercont2_87 genomic scaffold, whole genome shotgun sequence.
GUUUAUGGUCACACCAUCUUGAAUGUGCCUGAACUCAUCUGAUCUCAGAAGCUAGGCAGAGUUGGGCCUGGGUAAUACUUGGAUGGGACACAGUAAAUGAUCAUUGUUAAAG